rnacentral:rRNA from 1 species
UACGUAGGGUGCGAGCGUUGUCCGGAAUUAUUGGGCGUAAAGGGCUCGUAGGCGGUUUGUCGCGUCGGGAGUGAAAACGCCGUGCUUAACACGGCGCUUGCUUUCGAUACGGGCAGACUAGAGGUAUUCAGGGGAGAACGGAAUUCCUGGUGUAGCGGUGAAAUGACGCAGAUAUCAGGAGGAACACCGGUGGCGAAGGCGGUUCUCUGGGCCUGUACUGACGCUGAGGAGCGAAAGCGUGGGGAGCAAACAGG